CCUAUUAAAAAGUGGGAAGCUAUGUUAUUGUAGCUUAGUAACAGUGGAAUUACAAUCUUGCCCUCUCAACUUGCUAAAAUUAGCUGGCUGCCAUUAAUCACGCCUCGUGUGUUCAGCCUGGUCUUCACCUUCAUCACCUGCAAGUUUCCACAUCUUCAUUUUCUCCAUCUUCAUUGCCUCCUGUCGUCUUCACUGUCUCUCCUCUCUCCUCUCUCUUCUUCUUCAUUCCCACUUUUCAAAUUCCAUCCCCUUUUUUCCGUCGAAUUCCUCCGUUUUAGGGUUCCGUCUACUUACACAAAAUCAAACCCAAUUUCUAGGGUUUUUGCGACAAUGGCGAGAGUGAAGAAAGAGGCAGGUAGCAUAAGCAAUAAUACUAACACACGAGUUAGAAAAUUAAGGAGUAGCAAAAUUGAAGCUAAUUCAACUUCUAAUCAGCAGGAGCAGCAACAUGUUGAUGAAGUUGUAGUAAGGAGAAAUUUGCGUUCUAGAUAUCUCGCCGUCAAAAACUUACUUUCUGGUGAUACGCAUGAUUUGUCGCAGCCGGAUUCGCAGAGGUUUAAGUCUAUUAUUGAUGAAGGGGAGAGUUUACAUGCGAAAGGCUUUUGAUGAGGCUAUCUCUGAGCUGGAUACAAUGGGUGAGAACUCAUACAAGGACAACCCAUUGAUUAUGCAGCUGCAGCGUGAGCCUGACCUUGUUGAUUUCAGAUAAUGCGAUUUCAGCCUAAAGUGAUUUCACAAACCCGAUCUUCACUUCAAUUCGCCGCCUGAGAUUUUCAUAUUUGACUGUGCAACUAUUCAUGUGCUCCAGCUAUUUGCACGUUGAUCAUCAAUUGAAGGUUUCAUCUUCAUUAAAAAGUUGAAUUUUGUUAUUGGUGUAUUGAGUUUUGUUACUCCUGUUUUAUAUAUGUGAAAUUAUGAUGUUUAAUUGGUUUUGUCUAGAUUGAGUUCAAUUAUAUGUGGCUUAAUUAAUGGCUUUUGGGGUUUCAUUUUCUGAAUUCACCUACCUAAGCUUCAAGUAUCUAAAUUUUCAGUUUCUUGGAUAUUCAGUUUGGAUAAUUGGUGGCUGAGUUUUCAUAUUUCAUAAAUGCAUUGGAAUGUUCUUGCUUAAAUCCGUGUAUACCAUAUAUGUGUGCAUGGUUGUGUCCUGGAAUUUAUUUGUUUAGCUAAUUAUGGUGGAAUAGUUGAUAUUAUAGUGAUUUAUUUGCUGCUUUCUUUCGAAUUUUUGUACGGUAAUUUGUUGCUAUUAUUUUGAGAUGGGUUCGGGGUGUGUGUUACUGUUGUAGUUUUUGUUGCGAAUUCGAUUAUUGUUGAUGUGUUGUUGUUACUGCAUUUUUAACUAUGUGGUUGAUAGAAAGGGGUGGCGGUUGAUGUAUUAUGGCUGCUACUAUAAAUCCAUAUUGUGCUACCUCUGGUGCUACGAUAUGUUUUUAAUUUGUUACUAUACGCAAGCUGCUGCUGCCCCUCUUUCUAUUGUACCCUGCUGCUGCUUCACCCCUACAAAAUAUAAACCCUGAAACUAAACUUGAACACCAAAUUACACUUUAGUGAGGAGUAAUAGUGAGUUGAUGCUCUAGAAAGGCUACCAUAACUUUCACCAGUAGUCGAUUAUUGUUGAUGUGGAUUUUUUCAGCCUACUUUUGUUAUGAAUGUAUAUCUUACUAUAUUACUCGAGCUCUACUUUUGGUCUCUUAUUAAUAAUUAUCUAUAAUUACCUCUACUCUUAUAAUAUAAAUAUAUAAUCAUCUAUAAUCAAGCAAUCAAGUAUUAUAUAAUCAGUACUAUAUAAUAUAGUCCACUUUAUUAAAAAUUUCCCUUUGCCUUUAGUCUCUUAUUAAUAAUAGUGCUUUGUUAUGUGGAUUAAUAAGAGAGUAUUAAUAAGGGUGGAAGAAUAAGCGAGUAUUAGUAAGUGAAUGAGUGAAAACAUGUACGUAAAAGUGGGGUUGCCUCCACUUAUUAUCUUACCAAAUACACCCAUAACGUAUGUUGUGAAAAUAAGUUGUUAUGGAAAGACCCACCUCACAUUCCCCUCUACCCUUAUAUGCUGCUUCCCCUUGUUGCUACCCUUCCUUUCUUAUAUGAAGCCCCUUGCUGCUCCCCCUGUUGCCUGUUGUUUACAAUUGAUGUUGCAUUCUACUAUUGUCACUGCUGCCACGUGGUAGAUGAUGCCGAUGUGCAAGCCCACAUAACAAUGUGGCAUGGCGCUUGUUUGUGGGUUUAUAUAUAUGUGUGCGUGAUUCAGUUUGUAUAAUGUGUUGUCGAGAUGUUAAUAUAGUUCAAUUGUUUGUUACACUACCAAAUUUUAUCCUAUUGUAUAUGAUGCCAAAAAAUGAUUGGAAAGUCAUUAAGCUCUUACAAAUAUGAUGUUUGUUUAGCAUUCCCGCCUUUGGCCCUAUUCCAAAAAUGUUGGCAAGGAUGACUUUCAAUGAUAUUUAGUGUAACUAACAUGUAUUAUUUCUUGAGUAAGAAUUCAAUAUAGAUGUAAUAUGCUUUCGUUCUUAUUUAAUGGAAAUUUCUUUUAUCUUAAAACAACCUUGUCAGUACAUUAUCAAGAAAAUACCUCGGAUCUUUUCACUACAAUAAAAUUUCCUUUAUCUUAGUGAAAUUUUUCUUUAUCUUAAAACAAUCUUUCUAUAAUUUAUAUUACAACUUGAAUCUACAAUAAGGAUUAUGAUUACUAAAAUGUUCAUAUUAUAAAAUAUGAGUUAGAGAGGGGGAAAGGGUAUAAGGUGAGAGAAAUAAGGGGAAGAGAAAAGAUGGUGGAAGAUAGAAGAAUUUAUAAGACAAGUUAAUGCAAGAAGCCUUAAAAAAGCAACAAUAAAAAGUGAGAACAUGUAAAAAAGGAGAUAAAUAUAUAAAGGAAUUUGAAGUGAAAAACAUGAAAAAAAGAAAGUUUUGGUAUGCUAUUUAUGUAGUGAUGAGCACUUGAAGUUUGGGUGCUAGAAUUUCAAAUUAAUUUGAUUUGUAAUAGUAUAAGAUAAUCAAAAUGUCUUCUCAUAGUUGUGAAGCUAUACGGUGGGAACCUUUGACUUGGAUCUUAUAUAUGCUAAUUGCUAUGUGUAAAAUCUAAGUCAAAGGUUUCCACUGUGAAAAGUCGAGCGACAUUCAGCUGUCCAUUAAAUUGAUUUUGAAUGAGAUCUCUAUUCUCGUUCAUGGAAAUAAACCUUAUUUAGGUCUGUCAUAGAAUAUGCCAUUAAGCAGAAAUAUUGGUCAGAGGGAAAGCAACUUACAGAUGCACCAAAUGAUAUUGCAUUUAUCAUAUCUUUAAUUGUGCUAUAUACAAUUUUAUGUAAAUUUGUAUUGGAUAUGUGUUUACUGUGAUUUCCCCUUAACUUAAAUGUAUGAUAUUAUCUUGAUUUCGGAGAAAAAAAUGCGGUCGUUGUUGCGUUCACGGGAAUGACUUGUAAUGGAGAAGCAUAACGUUUCGCGGCCAACGCGGCAUAAAUUUUUUUUUAAAAUUCACAUUAAUAUGUUCUAACCUUAUUUGCUUUGUUUUAGUUUAUGAAACAUUAUUAAUCAAAUCUAUCAUAAUAUCAUGUUUCAUUAGUUACAUAAUUAAAUCGUAAAAUAUUUUUGGCCAAUAUUUAAAAAGAACGGAUGUAAUGGGGACAAAAGCGUUCUAACGCGGCGAGUUAGCGUUACACAACGGACAACGCGGCGAGAAGUAUGUGAAUUUUUUUAUGGCGCUCCGCAAUUGGAUUCCGCGAAACAGCAAAUUCAAAAUUCCGUUAUAGAAUGACCGUUAUGUAACGGAACGGGAGAGUUUUAAUUCCAUGCAUGCUUGAUUUGCAUGUGUUUUGAUCAUUUUGAUUCAGGGUUAUAUAGUGAAAUUCUUAUAUAUGAGAAUAUAACUAGGAAAUGAGCUUGUUUAAUUGUUUACUGCUAAUGGGGUGCCUAUAUGUUUAUUCUUGUUUAAUGUUUAUUACUCUUUUUUGACGUUAUGGAAGCAUGGUGGAGAGAUGUGAAUGCCACAGACCUUAGUCAGCAGACCUCGUUGCAUUGGGCUGCUGCUAGUGGUUCUGCCGUGGUUGCUUGUUGCAGAAUUGGGCACGCGUCGAGGCUUCAAAUGCCAAUGAGUAUAGGAUCACCGUGAGAGACAAAAAGCAAAGAACAAAACCAAUUGGUCAUAAUAACUUGCCAUGCAUAAAAGUUUCAAACAAGGGCAUUAGAUGAUUAACAUUUGAAGAAACAUGUAAGAUUGUAAAAAGUUGAUUCGACCAUGUGUAAUUAUUUUUGUAGUUCUAUUGUAAUUAUGACAACUUGCAUUUAAUGUAAAGAUGUUGUUAACUUAUACAAUAAUUUACAUUUCUGCAAAUAAUUCAUUUACAUGUUUGAAACUUACAUAA